UACAUGGGGUGCAAACGUUGCUCGGAAUUAUUGGGCGUAAAGCGCGCGUAGGCGGUUACUCAAGUCGGAUGUGAAAGCCCUCGGCUUAACUGAGGAAGUGCACCCGAAACUGAGUAGCUAGAGUACUAAAGAGGGUCGCGGAAUUCCCGGUGUAGAGGUGAAAUUCGUAGAUAUCGAGAGGAACACCAGAGGUGAAGACGGGUUGCUGGGCCGACACUGACGCUGACAGCGCGAAAGCCAGGGGAGCAAAGCGGG
rnacentral:rRNA from 1 species